AUUGAUACGUAUGAUUUUAUUGACUGAAUAACUGAGUGGUUAUUGCUAGUUGAAAACUUUACCCAAUGCCCCGCCAUGUUGUGAUGUAAAUCGCGACAUCGGCAAUUUUUGGAAACCGGAAACGGU
rfam:Orchesella cincta Ocin01_Sc0016, whole genome shotgun sequence.